rnacentral:tRNA from 1 species
ACCCUUGAGGGUAUGAUUAAAGUUUAAUAUAAGUGGUUUAAUUGGAAAAAAGCUGAGCGUG